UUUUAUAUCUGAAAGAAACGAGACGCGUUCUACAAUCAGAACACGACGGGGGGGAGGGGUUCCGACAUGAAACUGUGUGUUCUAGAAUGUUCUAGUCUCAGGUGUUCUAGAAUGUUCUAGUCUCAGGUGUUCUAGAAUGUUCUAGAAUGUGUAGCUGUGUAUUUUAGGUUCUAGAACAGUGGUGGAAUGUGGUGAUAUGAACGAGAUCUUCUAGAGUCCCAGCUUCCAGACGGAGAACGCACGCAGUCCAAACAAACAGAUUUCAAAAUAAGAGUCUCUGUCUUGCUAGAACCUAAAGAUGAAAGUAAAACGUGCU